AUUGAACGCUGGCGGAAUGCUUUACACAUGCAAGUCGAACGGCAGCACGGGGGCAACCCUGGUGGCGAGUGGCGAACGGGUGAGUAAUACAUCGGAACGUGCCCAGUCGUGGGGGAUAACGUAGCGAAAGUUACGCUAAUACCGCAUACGAUCUACGGAUGAAAGCGGGGGACCGUAAGGCCUCGCGCGAUUGGAGCGGCCGAUGUCAGAUUAGGUAGUUGGUGAGGUAAAGGCUCACCAAGCCGACGAUCUGUAGCUGGUCUGAGAGGACGACCAGCCCGACUGGGACUGGGACACGGCCCAGACUCCUACGGGAGGAAGCAGUGGGGAAUUUUGGACAAUGGGCGCAAGCCUGAUCCAGCCAUUCCGCGUGCAGGACGAAGGCCUUCGGGUUGUAAACUGCUUUUGUACGGAACGAAAAGGCUCUGGUUAAUACCUGGGGCUCAUGACGGUACCGUAAGAAUAAGCACCGGCUAACUACGUGCCAGCCGCCGCCGUAA
rnacentral:rRNA from 1 species